UCAGGCUCAAAAUUUAUUUUUCAUUUCUUGCACUUGAAGUACUCUUCGAUGACAUCUUUGGCCUGAGAUUCCUUGCCAUAAUCUUGACAACCACACAACUGCAGCCCACAACUUUGCGAGGUUUCCCUUCUCUGUCGAUCUUGCAGAGUCCUACCCAUUCACCCAGCUUUUUGUUGUCAUCAACCUUUAUCAGGUUGAUCUGGUGCUCUGCACAAAGUGCUUCAACUAGCUUUACAUACAUGGGCUCAUCACAAUUUGAAGCCAGGACACAGAGAUGGGCUUGGCGCUUGUCCAAGGCUUUGGCUGCUUCACGAAUACCACGAGCGAGGCCAUCAUGGAUAAGUGCGGUCUUCAGCACUUCUUGGAGGGCGGUGUUAACAUCCAUUACACCUCCAGCAGUAAUGCCUUCCUCGGCCAUGGCCCUCUCGGUGGGUGCCGCUCCCGCCCGGCUUCCUGCCCGCUGCCGCCGCGAGCCACAAGCGA
rnacentral:lncRNA from 1 species